AUUGAACGCUGGCGGAAUGCUUUACACAUGCAAGUCGAACGGCAGCACGGACUUCGGUCUGGUGGCGAGUGGCGAACGGGUGAGUAGUGUAUCGGAACGUGCCCAGUCGGGGGGGAUAACGUAGUGAAAAUUACGCUAAUACCGCAUACGAUCUAUGGAUGAAAGCGGGGGAUCGCAAGACCUCGCGCGAUUGGAGCGGCCGAUAUCAGAUUAGGUAGUUGGUGGGGUAAAGGCCCACCAAGCAAACGAUCUGAAGCUGGUCUGAGAGGACGACCAGCCACACUGGAACUGAGACACGGUCCAGACUCCUACGGGAGGCAGCAGUGGGGAAUUUUGGACAAUGGGCGAAAGCCUGAUCCAGCCAUUCCGCGUGCAGGAUGAAGGCCCUCGGGUUGUAAACUGCUUUUGUACAGAACGAAAAGGUUUCUACUAAUACUGGGAGCUCAUGACGGUACUGUAAGAAUAAGCACCGGCUAACUACGUGCCAGCCGCCGCCGUAA
rnacentral:rRNA from 1 species